rnacentral:rRNA from 1 species
GUGAGGAAUAUUGGUCAAUGGGCGGGAGCCUGAACCAGCCAAGUCGCGUGAAGGAAGAAGGAUCUAUGGUUCGUAAACUUCUUUUGCAGGGGAAUAAAGUGCAGGACGUGUCCUGUUUUGUAUGUACCCUGAGAAUAAGGAUCGGCUAACUCCGUGCCAGCAGCCGCGGUAAUACGGAGGAUCCGAGCGUUAUCCGGAUUUAUUGGGUUUAAAGGGUGCGUAGGUGGUUUGAUAAGUCAGCGGUGAAAGUUUGCAGCUUAACUGUAAAAAUGCCGUUGAAACUGUCGGACUUGAGUGUAAAUGAGGUAGGCGGAAUGCGUGGUGUAGCGGUGAAAUGUAUAGAUAUCACGCAGAACUCCGAUUGCGAAGGCAGCUUACUAAGCUACAACUGACACUGAAGCACGAAAGCGUGGGGAUCAAACAGGAUUAGAAACCCCUGUAGUCC